AUCAAAACGUUGACGGGAAGAAGUAAGGAAAGCAUGCUCCAAAGAGAGGGUCAUCACCGGCUGUAAGUGACCUGUGCCGCUGCGUUCCUGAAAUGCCUCCCCGAGUGCUGAGUCGAAACGAGUAGACCAGACGUUUGCCUGCGUUAAAGGCUUCGAGAGAAAAGGACAUGUCCUUUUAAUCAGAGUGGAACCGCGCGGGAAAGCGUCUCUGUC
rnacentral:ncRNA from 1 species